rnacentral:rRNA from 1 species
AGAGUUUGAUCAUGGCUCAGAACGAACGCUGGCGGCAUGGAUUAGGCAUGCAAGUCGAACGGUGCAGCAAUGCAUAGUGGCGCAAGGGUGAGGAACGCGUGAGUAAUCUGCCCUCAAGUUGGGAACAGCUUCUGGAAACGGAAAUUAAUACCGAAUGUGAUCUCAGGGAGGCAUCUUUCUGGGAUUAAAGGCCGCAAGGUCGCUUGAGGAGGGGCUCGCGUCCCAUUAUGCUAGUUGGUGAGGUAACGGCCCACCAAGGCGAAGAUGGGUAGCUGGUCAGAGAGGACGAUCAGCCACACUGGGACUGAGAACUGCCCAGACUCCUACGGGAGGCUGCAGUCGAGAAUUUUGGGCAAUGGACGAAAGUCUGACCCAAGCAAUGCCGCGUGCGGGAUGAAGGUCUUCGGAUUGUAAACCGCUGUCAAGUGGGACGAAACAAAUGACGGUACCGCUGAAGGAAGUCACGGCUAACUACGUGCCAGCCGCCGC